GUCAAUUUUUAAUGCUUUAUUCAAUGGUGCAAAUUCUAGAGAUGUGACAAUUCCCCUUUAUCAAUUUUACAAGUUUGAUUUUAGUUCCAGUGCUUAUUUGCCUUUUAAUCUAAUUUAAUUUAUGUAAUUGAUUAACAUGGGAUCAUUAGCUAACAUGUCGAUAUAGAUCAGCUAUGAGCUUUUAACUUCCCUGUUUUUGCCUAAACACUGCAGUCUAAUCAGUUCUUCUUAAUAAAACCCUUGGUGUUAAUUUGUGUACAGUAUAUGUAAAAUGUUUUGAGACACUCCAAGCACCCAAACCACUUCAGCCUGCGCACUAGUUAAGGUGCGAGGAUUUGCCUGGCUCUGUCCCAGUGUAAUCUGCUAAACCAUUUCAGCAUGGUUUGACAACUUAUCUGGGUCCACCAGUUGCCAGCGUCACAUUCGGUCUUCGUCUGCAGCAGAUGUCACAUGUGUCUGUUCAGCUAUGCACAGCUGAUUCCCUGCUUCUAGAGAAGACCUGAAAAGGGACACUGCCAUGGGG